ensembl:lncRNA
GGUGCACUGUGUAUUUGGACGACGUGGUGGUGGUUUCAGACUCGUGGCCGUCUCAUGUGGAGCGUGUCCGUGCGUUGUUCCUGCGCUUGGCUGAGGCGCGCCUGACCAUCAACCUCGCCAAGUGCGAAAUUUGCACGGGCCACGGUGACGUACCUGGGCGGGUUGUGGGUCAGGGUAAAGUCCGUCCCGUUGCAGAGAAAAUAAGAGCUGUCCAGUUCUAUCCUCUGCCCACUACUAAGAAGGAACUGAUGAGGUUCCUGGGUUUGGUGGGGUAUUACAGGGGUUUUGCCGUAAUUUCUCAGAAGUUGUUGCACCAUUAACUGAUCUACUUAAAAUCGUGUCCCAUUUGUGUGGUCUCCUCUCUGUCAGCAGGCGUUUGAGAGGAUAAAGUCUCUGCUGUGUGAAGCACGGUCCUGGCAGCUCCGAGGUUUGACCAACCUUUUGUGCUUCAAGUCGACGCUAGUCACAUCGGAGUAGGUGGCGUUUUGUUGCAAGCCAAUGAGUUGGGUUUGGAAAAACCAGUCGGUUUCUUUUCCAAGAAAUUUAACUCAUAUCAAUUGAACUAUUCAACGAUUGAAAAGGAGGCACUGGCCUUAGUUUGGGCUCUGAGAAACUUUGAAGUGUACUUGGGCUCUGGAGCGGUACCCGUAGUGGUGUACACUGACCACAACCCACUUCUGUUUUUGAACUCGCUGCAAUGUCCUAACCAGCGUCUGAUACGUUGGUCGUUAUUUCUACAGUCACAUUGGCUUGAUAUUAGACACAUAAAGGGUGCGGAAAACGUCGUAGCCGACGCACUGUCUCGUUCCUCAAGAUUGAGGUUUGAGCUAAGACUUUAUUGCUGUUAUGAUGUUGUCCUGUUGCGCUCCUGUUCCCUCUUCUGUCAUCCUUCCCUCUUAAAUUGCUUCCCACUGGUACCAGGUUGCUGAGGUGGGGGUGUGGAAGAUGCGCGUAGUGAGCUGUGUGGUUCUCAACAGCAGCUGGUGUUCCUGUCCUCGGAUCUGGUCCUUCCUCCUGCCUCAGUCUCUUCCUGACAUCGCCUGGCUCCGGAGGGAGAGCGGUGUGCCGCUCCGCCGCAGCCCCUCGUUUUCUAUUGUGUUCUCUUUGUUUGCUUUGCCGUCAUUUUGGUCCCUUGUGUUAGGGAAAUAAAUUAUCCUUUUGUUACUUUUACCUACGCAGUUCCUUUUAUUUGUCCGACCAUGAGCCGGGUCGUGACAGUAUUAAUAGCCCUACUAUUGCCGUUUUCGCUUGAAUUUUUGUGUUUCUCUACUGAUUGCUUUGACAAUGCAACAUUAAAAGUUACUAACAGCGACUUCACACAGAAGCUCUGGCUUAGGGCCGCCCUUGGGCCCCUGGGCAUGUGCCCG